GUGGGCGCUACAGAACAACCGUGUGUCUGACCACCAGUGGCCAUUUAGCAAUGAGGAUGACAGAGAUGAUCUUACUAUAUCCUGCCCCUCUCCCUUGGUGAGAGCUGCAGUGGUAUGUGAGAAUUCCACGGGAUCAUCGAAAGGAAUUAAAGUAGAAGCAUUUCAAAUGAGCCAACACUCAUCCGGGCCAGCGCUGUUCAAUAUGAAGGGAACAUGUUACAUACACAUGUGGGCUUGCAUUUCCUUCUGAAAGUAAAAAAAUCCAGAACUCUGACGUGUGUUUGAUACUUAUAGCUUGGUUCUGAUAGAACCUAGCGGGGAAACCCCCACUCAAUUCCCAAUUCGGCGUGCACCCAAAAAAAAUCACAAAGGACCAUCUUGAUGUAAUUACAUGAGGUCGUUUAAUGACGGAGCUCCGGACCGACAUGCAUCUCACACAGGAGAUAACGGAUGUUGGCCACAAGGCUCGAAAGUUAGGGGUUUUUAUGGGGUAAGGGGCUUAGGGGUGUGGAAUUCAGCAUAGCAACACACUAUUGGCUUAUUGAAACAUCAGCAGAAAAAUUACAUGUACGUGCAGGGUGUCAGAGUUCUGUGAGUUGUUGACUCAGUUUGGAUAGCCCUGUUAUGUCCUCACAGUCCCCUUUAUCUUAUGGUCAAGAUGUUCCCAGGAAUGUUUUAACUACGGGGCAUACCUGGGUUUCUUUUUCUUUUUUUCUCAGCCCCAGGCAGCCUCUAGGCUCACAAACAACCAGCAAUUUCUGAGUACUUUAUAUGACUUAUAGGUCUUGAAAUUUCAUCUUUCUUUCAGUUCCAGGGCCACAUUUUAGGUUCCUGGAAUACUGAGUGAAUUAUUGUCACUAUCCUGGACAGGAUAGCUCUCCUAAGGCUACCAAAGCUGUGAUGACCAACCCACAUCCUGAUGAGCAAAGAAACGUGUUUGUCCACAAAGCCUGAUUAACCUGAUUUUCACCAGAAAAAAAAAAGUCCUUAACCAUCACUCACCAUCUCCAGGAACAAACAAAAUGUAAAAAUGACUGUUUAGGGACUAGUGAGGUUGCUGGGGUGUGUGUGUGUGUGUGUGUGUGUGUAUGUGUGUGUGUAAAAAUAAAAACAAAAAAAACAAAAAAAAACAGACAUUCCAACCAUCAGAAUUUGUAGAUAAUUUGUGCCUAAGAAAGGCAUCUUUGCCAUGUAAUGCCUUUCAGAUUCAAGUACAGAAGAUGCUGAACUGGGGAUAGAGGUCAUGGAGUUUGUCCAGGGAGCUGUAUAUCUCACUGUCCAGUUGCCCUCAUUACAACAUCACUAAAGUUAGCAUCCUACAAUUGCCUUAGAAACAUUUAAACCCAGCCACCUUUGUUUAUCUGUUUUACAAGAUGGGGCUUCUCUGUGUAGCUCUGGCUGUCCGGGAACUCACUCUGUAGACCAGGCUGGCCUCAGAGGUCUGCCUGGUGUUGGUCAUGAUCCCGAAGCUAGAGCAAACCUCCUUGGUUGAGGACUAAGCCCCCAACCUUCAUUAGUCAUACCUGUCCACCAUUAAUAUUUGACUGUUCGCUCUCUUGGGUACUGCCCUCUUAAGACUCACGUCAAUGGCCACCCAUGGCUUGAAGGGAGGCUGUAAACUAUUUACAGUUUCUGUCUCUCUAGUAGAAGCAGAGCUGAAAGAAAGAAGAUGAAAUGAAGUGAGUGAGCUCUACAGAAGACUUCUGCCACUCCAAAGUUUUAUAAUGUAAAUAAUGAUUUAUAAACUGCUACUUCCUUUCUUGUUUUUUGAUACUUGUCAGCUCAUGAUUUGUAACAAACAAUGAAAGUUUCACCUGAAAAUGAUGUGAGCAACACAGUUAACAAAAUUCUAUUGGGUAGUAUCUAUUUGCCUGUCUGUCUUUUUACCUACUUAUCUCUUUUCUUUCUAUUACCCUCCUAUUCUUCUGUAAAAUAGAAAAAGGAUUACUACAUUACAGCUGUAGUGAUGUCCCAAACUAAGGAAAUUCAUAGAACUGCAGGGAACUGACAUAGCAGUGUUAAGUAUUUAUUUUCUGAAAAUCAGACUCGCAGGAAAAAAAAUAUAAUUUUUACAAUAUAUUAAAAUAUAACACAAAAAGACCUGGUGUCUAGCAUUGUUCCAGUCAACAGUUACGUGGCUUUUAAUGAGUCUGCCUUUGUUUUCAUUUCCACAAAGUGCCUAUCUUUUUUAUAAAAAUGAAGUCAUUGUCUAGAUCAGUACUUCUCGGAUCUGAAAUGUUGCAACUCUGUGUAAUUGGUCUUCACACCUAUGUGAUGCAUGGUUCAUAAAGUUGGUCGUCCUAAAUUCAAGAGCUUGUUUUUGCAAACCAAAUUUAUGCAGGACCACAAAAGCACCAAGCAGGAGCCUAUUGUUGAAAGGUCCAAGGAUUCGGGGUUAGACUUUGCCUUACUUCAAAAUCUUUUAGGAAAAGAAAUGAGCUGCUUUCUUGAAGCAGGUAGUGUGGUUCCCUGGAUGGUGCCAUGGUCUGCAGUCAGGAUCAAGGAAGCCAAGAGCUGAGGGUUUCCUGCAUCCCUAGCAUCCUCCUCCAUCCCUCUUGAGCCAGUGUUGCAUCAUCUAAGCUGACACUAUCACUGGAAGGCAAAAUUUGAGGAGCUGGACCAGCUGCCUCAUUAAGACCAACAGCUUUACACUGAAGAAAUUAAUCUACUCUAUUAUGCAGGAAACCAUCAUGACAGUCUGCUAGCAUCCUGGGAAUGGUCACACUUUUCUAAUGAAAGAAAAGGAGCCAUCGAUCCCUUCCAUACCUUAGCUGGAAUGUAGCCAUGUUAUCUGGGACAUUUAUCUUCCUUCAGUAUGCUCCAUGUAAAUCUUCUUUUAUGUUGGAAGAUUUUCCUACCAACUAAAGCCUUCUGCCCCCUACAGAAGUUAAAAUACCCACUGUUCUAGGACAACCAGACAUGUUCAGUCAGAUGCAUCAACCUUGGACUUCAAUCAGAAGCUAAUCAUGAUUGCCCAAGCAUGAGGCCAACAAGGGCAAUACAAACAGAUAGACUCAAGUGGUUGGCGGGAAACCCAAAGAACUAUGGAUAACUAAGGAGUACUGAGAGCAGGAGAAACAGUCUUCCUCAGGGACGGGCACACUAAAUGGUUAUCCAGUACCCAGUGGUCAGCUCUGGAAACAUACAUACAAGUAACAUUAUACAAACUAUGCAAGUUGUAUUUAUGUAAAUAUAUGUAUUUAUGUAACUAUAUUUACAUAUAGGCAUGUAACAAUAAUAUCAAUGAAUGAAAAAAAUGCCAUGAAUUUGAAAGAAAGAAAAGAAGGUUAUAUGGCUGCAUUCAAGAGGGAAGAAAGGAGAGGAAGCAAUUAUAUAAUUAUAAUCUCAAAAAUAAGAGAAAAGGGGGGUUUUGCUCAUUUUUUUGUAUUGUUUUGCUUUUGUUGUUGUUGCUGCUGCUUGCUGCUGCUAUGGAGGCUGCCAUAUUUGCAUAUUCAGGAGCCAGCCAGAGUGGUCAUGAUGUCUUCCAGGAACCACUUUCUCAGCUACCAUGAGCUGCCUCAUGGCCUUGUCACCUUGUUACAUUCUUUAUUUUUAUUGUUUGGCCUUUCUGCCUCUUUUGUUUCAAUCAAUAGUGACUAAUCACUUUUUCUUCCAUUUAUUUAUUCUUUUUUUUCAUUAAUUUUGCAUCCCAAUUAGAAUCCCCCUCCCCCUCCAGAAGCCUCAUUUCCUCAGGAGCUUGAGAGAGAGGUGACUAUAAGCCUCCAGAUGUGGAUGUUUGCAAUCAAACUCUGCUCCCCUGUAAAAGCAGGAAGCACCCUUAACCGAUGAGACACCUCUAAAUGUAAUAUAAAGUAUUUUUAUCAUUAAAAUGUGGACUUGGCACCCAAAAUAAAAUCUUAUGUCACAGCAAGCUAAAGAAAUGAGAUGACUUCUUCACUGGGAUAAAGGAAGUGUUGCCACAGAAGAAUUUAACUAAAGAGAAAUCUACAGAGUCGUCUCAGGGGCUUUGCCAUCUUGCUGUGUUUGUAGAAUCACAGAUUACCAGAAAUACAAUCUCUAAGAAUGGAGAGUGUAUUAUCUGCAUAUCAUGUUAAGAUUUAAAAUGUCUAAUAGAAAAGUGCUAACAAGCAAUUUAGAGAGUGUGUCAGAAUGUGGUGUGUGUGUGUGAGAGAGAAAGAAACAGAGACAGAGAGAUAGAGCUUUGAUAUUUUAAUAAAAAUUAUAUGGCUGGAGAGAUGGCUCAGAGAUUAAGAGCACUGACUGCUCUUCCAGAGGAUCUGGGUUCAAUUCACAGCACCCACAAGGAGCUCACAACUGUCUGUUAUUCACACCCUCACACAGACAUACAUGCAGGCAAGAUACCAAUGCACACGAAAUAAAAAUACAUUAUUAUAAACAUUCUUUUUAAA
rnacentral:lncRNA from 1 species